AUGCCUCCCACCGUAGAGCAGCUUGGCGGGGAUUGGGACGGCUCCAACGUCCAUGACGACCACGCCGACUUCCUCCGCGACACGCGGCGGCUGCCCAGCGCGGACAAAGUGGAGGUCCGCCUCGCGCCGGCGAAGGAUAUCUCGCCGAGGCCGCAGGAGGGCGAGCGGGUGGUCUUCCGCUCGCACUUCUUGUGCGGCUUUGGCCUGCCAGUGAGCGCCUUAUUCCGCUCCUGGCUCGACUUCUAUCAGCUUCAGCCACACCAUCUCACCCCCAACGCGGUGGUACUGCUGUCCGCCUUCGUCACCCUGUGCGAGGGCUAUCUCGGCGUCCUCCCCACCCUUGAGCUCUGGGGGGAGUUCUUCCAGUCGAAGCUGGGCACGCGCAUUAAGGGCGUGCCGGCUCAUACUGGCGCCUUCAUCGCGUCGCGGAGAUCGGCUGCCGACAACCCCUUCCCCGUCAUCACGCUGAUCCAAUCGGUGAAGAAGUGGCAGAAGUCAUACUUCUACGUGCAGAACAUCGCUCCACGGGGCGACUACAUCAACCUGCCGGCUUACGUAGCCGGCCCACCGGCGGGCAGGCUGCCCCAGUGGUCCUUCCGGGCUGUGACGCUGUCGCCGGCGGGAAACGCCGCCAUCGCCCGAUUGCGGGUGAUGGUCCAGUCGGAGGGCCUGACGGGGCCCGAUCUUCUGGCCGCGUUCGUCACGCGCCGGGUUCUUCCGCUCCAGAGCCGGCCUCAUCUGAUCUGUCAGAUGAGCGGCCAGCUCGAUCCGAGCCGAAUGUGCACCAAGGAGAUGCCGCGCGAGGAGGUCGCCUACAUGGUGAACUACCUUGCGAACUGCAAACUCGCCGAAGCGUGGCAGUUCGGCAAGGAGCCGUAUAGCCGAGCCAAUCCGCCGCCUACGGUAUGCUCUCCCUGUGUCUUUUUCUCUCUCUCUCAGCCUUGUUGCCGAGCAUCUCUUGGCCGACUCUGA
rnacentral:rRNA from 1 species